CUGAUCUACUGAUCAUAGUUUUCCAGGGAAGAGUAAAUAUGAAGAGAGUGAGAGUGGGACACAGAGGGCAGAGGAGAAAGAGGAGAGAGCUGUUAUCUGUGAGUGAAGGCAGAUAUCUAUGUGCAUUAUCCAAUGUUCCUAGGACUGUGCAGUCAAAAUUCAUGUGAAAGCAUGUUCGAAGGAUUCAAAAGGCUCGGUGGCUGGACAGAGUCAGGAAGACUCUAAGACCUUCGGACUGGAUAAAUGCUCCUGGGAUGAUUUAGCCUAGGCGAGGAAGCAGAAAGAUAGAGGUUCAAAGAUUUUACUUCCUGCUACUGUGGCAACGUGGGAUUUGAGAGUCACUGUCAUCCAGUGUCACGUGAAUAGGGUGAGACGGUGGCCCUUGCUGGGCCAGCCCCAGCCCCUCUGCCCUCCUGCUGCUGCUGGAGUGCAGGCGCGAUCUGGGCUCACUGCAGCCUCCACCCCCUGGCUCAAGCCUCCCACCCCAGCCUCCCAAGUAGCUGGGAUUACAGAGAACUCCUGGGCUCAAGCAAUCCUCCUGCCUCGAUCAUUUGUUUUUAAAUGAGCCUGUAUUGCCUGUAAUUUUCAAGACGGUAUAGAGCUUACAGAAAAAGUAUGAAAAGUGCAAGUGUUUUUUUAGAUAGCAACUAUUGCUUAGCACUCAACAUAUUUCCUUUAUCCGUCUUCCCUUCCCCCUUCCUUUCCUCCUUCCUCCUCCCUCCCUUUCUUCCUUUUUUCAAAUUAACCUUUAGGCCAGUUGCUUAGGCCAGUUGCUGAUACUUGGCUGUGGUGUUUGCAUAGCUAGCUUGCCCUGAUGUAACUGUACAUGUAAUCAGCGUCUGCCACUUUGAUGGAAGUUUCCUAGUUUAGAAACACCUGUCUCUGGAUUAUAAUGAAACAACACAGAGGCUAAAUAAUAAAACCUCAGGGAAUCAAGACAUGUAAAGCCCAGAAUUUUAAAUAAAUAAGGUUUAUGGAACACUAAAAACAAAUAUAUUGGACUUUCCAUGGAGAAUACUUUAUCGUUGGUUAUACUGAAGAUAAAUGUUAACAACACAAAUAACAUGCAAAUACACACUCUUAGUAUCCAAACAUUGAUUUUAUUUGGCUUGCAGCAUUGAUGUUGUAAUGCUAGCAUUCACUGACAUUUAAUUUGUGGUAUAAUAUUGUCCCAACUGCUGCCUGCCUUUACACUAUAUAAUAUGAACUAUUGUCAAAAGUGUCUUUGAGAUGCCUUAUGGGGCAUUUAUUAAAUUUAUUGCAUUUAUGGAAAAUAGAGCCUGGUGAAUACAGAACAAAUAUAACUUAUUUUUGUGUUCUUAAGCAAAACAGCUUAGCAGUACUUUCAGAAACUUUCUUACGCUCCUCAUUCCACCACAGGUUUCAUCUCGAAAGGCUUCUGGCCUUCCUUCCCGAUUUCCCCCACAGGCAAGACUCUUCUAAGAGAACUCCUUAAAAAUUACUAUUAUUACUAUUAUUUUUAAUAAUUUCAAUUUUCAAUUUUUCUUUGCUUACAGUAGCCUUAAAAUAGCAAAUACCAUAAGGAGUAAAGAUAAAGACUUUGGAAGAAGGAAAGAUGCUUUAUGUCUCAUACCAAUCACACUGCGUCUCAUACAAUUUUUUAAGUGUACUAUUUACUAAAAUUUAGUUCACUAAUUUCAAAACAAAUUCCAAAAAAUGUUAUUUUUAAAUAACCAGUGAAGUUCACUAUUUCAAGGGAAACAUCGCCUAGCAGCCUACCUCUAUUUCUUACCCAAUUUGUCUUUAUACAUCUAUAGCAUAAUCUAUAUAUUUAUGGAUGAGGUCAGCUUAAAGUAAGGUAAAUGUAUAUUCUGAUUCAGCAGUUAUUGAAAUUAAAUUCCACUAAACAAAGCACCUUUUUACCUGAUGCACACUUUAUUAUGUAUUUAAACAUAGGCAAAUCAUUAAGUUAAUUAUAUUAUCUUAAAUUUAAAUCACUGAACUUAUCUGUAUUUUGAUUUAAUUAAAUUAAUUAAUUUAGUUUUUAUUUUUUAGAGACAAGAUCUCACUCUGUUACCUAGGCUGGAGUGCGGUGGCACAAUCAUGGCUCACUACAGCCUAGACCAACUGGGCUCAAGUGAUCCUUCCACCUCAGCCCUCAAAGUAUCUGGGAAUACAGGCACAUGCCACCAGGCCUGGCUAAUUUUUAAUUUUUUUAUUUUUGGUAGAGAUGGGGUCUUGCUUUGUAGCUGAGGCUGGUCUUAAACUUCUAGCCUCAAACAAUCUUCCUGCCUGGGCCUCCCAAAGUACUGGGAUUACAGGUGUGAGCCACCCUGCUCGACUUGAUUUAACUUUAGAGAUUAAAGGGAACUUCGAGAUUGUCUAGUCUAAAAUGUUUUAGAGAUAGUUUGCCCCUUACUAUUCCAUGUAGUAAAGAAAAUGAUGCCAAAUAUAUGCUACAUUGAAUAUAGAAAAAUAUUAUAAAAUAAUGUAUAUACAAGUCAUGUAAAUGUUAUAAGAUUAUAUAUAUUAAGCAAAAAAUUAAAGCUGAAUCAUGCACUGUAGACAUUUAACAAGUUUGACAUUAGGAACCUUAAAAUGGGUACUUUUUGGUUUUCAAGCAUGAGGUGUAUCUUUUAAAGAUAUCUCUGUGUCCAAAGAGAAGAGAUGAUGACACUAUAGACCUAUACUAACGUAAGAAAUUGUUGAGUUGUUAUAUUGAGCUUUUACUUUAAUUUCUGUAUUUUACCAUUAGCAAGGUUGAAUAAUUUUUUGGCUUAAGUUUAUAUUUCCUUUUUUAAAAUUUCCUGUUUGUAUCUGUGAUGCUUCAUUUUAUGUGUCAACUGAUGAGGCAAUGGUACCCAGUUAUGAGGGCAAACACCAGUCUAGAUGUUGCUGUGAGGGUAUUUGUAAGAUGAAAUUGACAUUUAAAUACACAGAAUUUGAGCAAAGUUGAUUACCUUCCAUAAUGUGGGUGGACUUCAAUCUCUUGAAAAGGCCCUUUAUAGAAAACCCUGAGGUUUUCCAAAGAAGGGGUGAUUCUGCUUCAAAACUGCAACCCUGUCUGAGUUUCCAGCCUGCAAACACCAGAUUCAAAGCUGCUUCAGAACUGCAACCCUACCUGAGUUUCCAGCCCGCAAACACCAGAUUCAAAGCUGCAGCAUCAACUCCUCCCUGAGUCUUCAGCCUGACAGGCUGCUCUACAGAUUUCAGAUUUGCCAGCCCCUACAAUUCUGUGAAUCAGUUCCUUAAAAUAAACAUUUCUCUCUAUAUUUAUGCAAAUGGAUAAAUGAUGGAUAGCUGUAGAUUUCACUACAUAGAUAUAGAUAUAUAGAUCAAGGAGAUCUCCUAUUGGUUCAAUAAAUCUAUUGGUUUUGUUUCUUUGAAGAGCCCUAAACAGUAUUUUUGCUUACUUUUUAAAAUUAGUAUAUUCACCUAUUUCUUACUGAGAAAAUUUACUUAAUAAAAUGAUUAGCCCUUUAAAUGUCUCAUGAUGCUAGUAUUUUUCUCAUCGUUUGUGGUUUGCUUUUUUGUUUUCCAACAAUAGAAGUGUUUACAUUUUUAGAAAGCAUUUAUUUCUUUGAAUUUGUUCCUGUACAGCUAUUCCCCGUUACAAGAUACAGACAUAUUCCUCUGUAUAUUUCCUUCUAAGUAUUGUUUUAUUUGUUACAUAUAAUUUAGUAAUCUGUGGAAUUUACUUUGAUAUAUGAUAGAAGAUAAAAAUGUAUACUUUUACUUACAUAGUUUAUCAAUUGUUUCACCACCAUUAAAAAACAACUUACAGAUUUGAAACGGUUAUUUUAGCUAGGGCUGCCAAAUUUAGCUAAUAAAAAGAAA
rnacentral:lncRNA from 10 species